UAUAAUUGCUUUUUAAUUUUAUCGUUACCAUUUUUUGUUGAAAUGAAUAGAAUUUGCGCAUUUCUUCUUUGUUUUACUGGAAUUUGCAUUCUUACCUCUGUUGUGUCCAGUGAGGUAGAAUUUACUGAAUGUGUAGACUAUAUAUUUAGCAGUUCCUGUCAGGAACUAGAUGAUGCUUCACGUGAAAUGUAUGGACAAUCUAUAUGUGACAAUGACCAGCUACCUCAUAAAUGUUGCAUAUGUUUGACCAGUGGAAGAAAGUGAAAAGAAGAUUUCCAUUUCUUUCUAAUGUAAAGAUUUUACAGACGCAGUAUGCUAUGACUAUGUUUUGAAUACACCAUGUACAGAAUACGAUCAGUAUUUCAAGAACUUGGAUGGAAGCUCUGUCUGUGACAAUCCUGAUCUGGCUGCUAUCUGUUGCAUGUGCCAAUCUAAUUAGGCAUGAAUUAUUCCUUUUAAUUUUUAAUGUGAAUAAGAAUAAACAAACUAGUUUUAUUUUGAUUUUGAUUUUACAAUGUUAUUGAAUUCUUGAUUUUGUCUAUUUUUGUAUCAAUCUGUCUCUUUAUCUAUAAUUAAACUGGCUACUGAUCAUUGUUCUUAUAGCUAUUGAAAGAAUUCCAUUAAAUGAUAACUUAUUUAAUGUACAAUGAA